GACAGAGGCCCAGAGCGUUAGGCGGAAUCACUGGGCUUAAAGCGUGUGUAGGCGGAUCGUUAAGUGUCUUGUGAAAUCCCACGGCUCACCCGUGGAACCGCUGGGCAUACUGGCGAUCUCGGGCCAUUCAGGGGCGACUGGAACAAGCGGUGGAGCGGUGAAAUGCGUAGAUAUCGCUUGGAACGCCGAAGGUGAAAACAGGUCGCUGGGGAUGUGCCGACGCUGAGACACGAAAGCCAGGGGAGCAAACGGG
rnacentral:rRNA from 1 species